GCACCUACCGAUUGAAUGGUUCGGUGAAAAUCUCGGACUGCGGCUUGGAUGCUCUCGGGCAACCAAGCUGUGGAAAGUUGUUUAAACCUCAUCAUUUAGAGGAAGGUGAAGUCGUAACAAGGUUUCCGUAGGUGAACCUGCAGAAGGAUCAAGACCGGAAGAGCACACGUCUGAAUCCCAUCCACGUGGCCUUACCUCGUAUGCCGUCUCUUGCUUGAAAAAAACAAAAUCAGCACAUCUCAAUUGAACAACUUGGUAUCGCAGAUCAGAGAAAC
rnacentral:misc_RNA from 1 species